GCCACACUCACCUGCCUCGAGGUUGAAGGAGAUCCUGGCCUCGGCGAGGUAAGGGGUGUCACUCUUGGACCGGACUCUCCGGAUGGGUCUCCGGUCGAUGUCCUCCUCGGAAGAUGCCGCCAUUAAGAGUCACAGCCAGGUGAACACAGUUUGUGACUGCCACACAAAUGAAGUUUCUGGAGUAAAACAACUACUUUCAAAGUGACAGUCGGAUUGAUGAAAAACAACAGUGAAAACUCAGCCGCUAUCAGGACCUUAAGAUCAAACUGCAAAGGCUCUGGCAUAAACCAGUACAGGUGGUCCCAGUGGUAAUUGGCACACUGGGUGCCAUGCCAAAAGAUCUCAGCUGGCAUUUGGAAACAAUAAAUAUUGACAAAAUUACAAUCUGUCAACUGCAAAAGGCCACCUUACUGGGAUCUGUGUGCAUCAUCCGAAAAUACAUCACACAGCCUAAAUGCUUGGGAAGUGUUUGACUUGUUAUUUUGUGAUAUGAAAUCCAGCAUAUCUAUCUUGUUUGCUGUGGCAUACUAUGUUGUUGUGUCAAUAACAACAACAACAACAACAACAACAACAACAACAAUAAUUUUAUUCUUAUAUGCCGCCACCAUCUCCCUAAAGGGACUCAGAGCGGCUCACAUGGGGACAAGCCCAAUAAACAUAGAUUAAAAGACAACAGUACAUGAAUUAAAACAGUCAAUAAAAUAUAAACAUAAUAGAACACAUAAAUGCAGCAAUUACUUUAAAACCCGGCCGUGAGUACAGUAUACGUGAAGGGUAACUAGUGCAAGACUCUCAGUAGGAUUCGUGGGACAUUCAGGGAUGGUCAAGGAUAGGAGCUGUUAUCAAGAGACUGUACUCUAAAAGGUGAGGAGUGGGUAUAAAGUGCCAUAAGAAUGUAUAGACAGCUGCCUAACUGGUGAGAUUGUUCACUCAAAUGCACACCGGAACAUCCAGGUUUUUAAAUCCUUCCGGAAGGUGGACAAUGAAGGUGCCAAUCUGAUCUCCCUGGGGAGAGACUUUCAGAGUUGAGGGGCCACCACCAAGAAGGCCCUCUCCUCGUCCCCACCAGCCGCGCUUGGGACGGAGGUGGGAGCGAGAGAAGGGCCUCCCCAGAAGAUCUUAAGGCCCGCAUGGGGAGGAGGCGAUCACGGAGAUAAGCAGGUCCUGAACCGUUUAGGGCUUUAUAGGUAAUAACAGUUCCUACUGUUGCUAGCAAAAAGGUUGAUGGCAGUUUCAUUCCAGCAACUACAAGCUACCAGACUGAGUAAUGUUGAGCAAGCAAUAGAAUGGACAUCUACAAAAACAUCAUUCUCCAUGCAGUCUUAACUUGCUCUGUUCUUCCUCCAAAGCAGUGGUUCCCAACCUUUUUUUUUUUUUUAAGCAGGGACCACUUUGACCAGGGACCACUCUCCAACAUUAGUACCAAAAGGGUUACGAAUCAGCUUUUGGUCAAAUUUAGAUUUGAUUUGGUGGUCUGGGGUGCUGAUUAAGAAAAUUGUAUUGGAUAGACCACAUCAGCUCUAGUUUCUGAUACAGAGCAUAUGCCAUCUAGUAGUCACC